rnacentral:rRNA from 1 species
GGCUAGCUACACGUUUGGCUUAGGUCGGCGUGUGGUUUAGUCAUCCGUAAGGGAAGCCAGUUCGGCCUUCACUGGUCGGCUGGGGGAACUUACAAUUUACUGUGAGAAAAUUAGAGUGUUUAAGGCAGGCAAUCGCUUGGAUACUCCAGCACGGAAUAAUGGAAUAGGACUUUAGUCGAUUUGUUGGUUUGAGACUGAAGUA